GACAGAAGAUCCCGGAUCUCAGAGCCUGAGACCAGGCUUACUGGGGCCUGGCCUGUCCUCUAAGUCAAGUUUAGGGAAACAAGGAUAAGAUUCUGUCAUAGGCAUAGGGAGUUGCACAUACAAAAUACCGAAGAAAACCCAAAAUUCAAUCAACAAUUCUGUCUUAUUGAAGAGUUGCUAGGAUUCAGAGUAAAACUCAAAGGAUUCAGUUUGAGCCUAGAAUGAUGGUUAGACUUGUAGUCACUGGGCUUUUGUUUUGCUUUAUGGAAAUCAUUGAAGGUCUGGAUCCUUUUCUCUGAAUGGAGAGAUUGAGAGGGAUGUCAGGCAGUUCCCAUUAGAUUGAGUGGCCUCCAUGUUAUUUAAAAUUGUUUUGGUGAUGCCUCACCCCUGUAAUCCCAGCACUUUGGGAGGGUGAGGCAGGCAGAUCACUUGAGGCCAGGACUUCGAGACCAGCUUGGCCAACAUGGUGAAACCUUGUCUCUACUAAAAAUACAAAAAUUAGCCAAGUGUGGUGGCACACACCUGUAAUCCCAGCUACUUGGAAUUGGAAAUCGCCUGAACCCGGGAGGCGGAGGUUGCAGGGAGGGAGACUGCACCACUGCACUUCAACCUGGGUGACAGAGGAAAACUCUUUUUUUUUUUUUUUUUUUGGAGUCUCGCCGUGUCCCCCAGGUUGGAGUGCAGUGGCGCGAUCUCAGCUCACUGCAAGCUCCUCCUCCUGGGUUCAUGCCAUUCUCCUGCCUCAGCCUCCCGAGUAGCUGGGACUACAGGCGCCUGCCAACACGCCCGGCUAAUUUUUUGUAUUUUUAGUAGAAAUGGGGUUUCACCGUGUUAGCCAAGAUGGUCUCGAUCUCCUGACCUCGUGAUCCACCCGUCUCGGCCUCCCAAAGUGCUGGGAUUACAGGCGUGAGCCACCGCGCCCAGCCGAGACUCUGUCUUAAAAAAAAAAAAAAAAAAAAAAAAAAUCAUCUGUAAAAUAAAUUCCAGGAUAGUCGUUUUGUUCAAGGAAAUAUUUUGUAAAUUGACCUCACAGAUAUAAUCUUUAUUGUCCUAUCCUGAUGUAUAAUACAGCAGGUAUAAUUACACCAAGUGCUAUAGUUAUAAAUGCGGAAUGAAGUGAACUAUGGCCUUUAUUUCCUUCCAGUGUGAACACAGCAGAUGUGAAAUGUCAUCUCGGAAGACUGGCCUUGCAGAAAUAGGCCUACAUCCAAAAUAUUCUCUUGUGACUCCAUGAACCAUUCAUUAACCCUUUGUAUCUUUGAGUGAAGAUUUUACUCAAAAGUUGCAUCUGGAAGUUUGAAUAAAUUA
rnacentral:lncRNA from 1 species